UUUUUUUUUUUUUUUGUAUUUUUAUAGAGACGGGGUUUCACCGUGGUCUCGAUCUCCUGACCUCGUGAUCCGCCUGCCUCUGCCUCCCAAAGUACUGGGAUUACAGGUGUGAGCCACCGCGCCCAGCCUUAUCUUUUUUUUUUUUCCCCCUGAGACAGAGUCUUGCUGUGUCGCCCAGGCUGGAGUGCAGUGACGCGCAGUCUUGACUCACUGCAGCCUCCACCUCCCGGAUUCAAGCGAUUCUCAUGCUUCAGCUUCCUGAGUAGCUAGGAUUAUAGGCAUGCACCACCACGCCUAGUUCAUUUUUGUAUUUUUAGUAGAGAUGGGUUUUCACCAUGUUGGACAGGCUGGUCUCGGACUCCUGGCCUCAAGUGAUCCACCUGCCUCAGCUUCCCAAAGUGCUGAGAUUACAGGUGUGAGCCACCGUGCCUGACCCACAUGUUUAUUUUUUCUAAGAAAACUUUACUAUCAUUUAUCAAGUUAAGAAAAUUAUUCUGAUAUUUCAAUUGGGUGUUUAAAUUAGUUGAGGGAAAUAUGAGGCCAUUCACUAGAUGAUAGGUUUUUUUUGUUUUAAUCAUGUUUCAUGUUGAAACAAAAAAGUUUUUUCCUGCCAGUUUUCUGGCUAAUCUCAGGAAGUCCCUGAAACAAAUUAUUGAUAAGU
rnacentral:lncRNA from 10 species